rnacentral:rRNA from 1 species
AUUGAACGCUGGCGGCAGGCUUAACACAUGCGAGUCGAGCGGAGUGAUGGUGCUUGCACUAUCACUUAGCGGCGGACGGGUGAGUAAUGCUUAGGAAUCUGCCUAUUAGUGGGGGACAACAUCUCGAAAGGGAUGCUAAUACCGCAUACGUCCUACGGGAGAAAGCAGGGGAUCACUUGUGACCUUGCGCUAAUAGAUGAGCCUAAGUCGGAUUAGCUAGUUGGUGGGGUAAAGGCCUACCAAGGCGACGAUCUGUAGCGGGUCUGAGAGGAUGAUCCGCCACACUGGGACUGAGACACGGCCCAGACUCCUACGGGAGGCAGCAGUGGGGAAUAUUGGACAAGGGGGGGAACCCUGAUCCAGCCAUGCCGCGUGUGUGAAGAAGGCCUUAUGGUUGUAGAGCACUUUAAGCGAGGAGGAGGCUCUUUUGGUUAAUACCCAAGAUGAGUGGACGUUACUCGCAGAAUAAGCACCGGCUAACUCUGUGCCAGCCGCCGCAGUAA